rnacentral:tRNA from 2 species
GGCCGCGUGGCGGAAUGGUUAGACGCACUGCCUAUGGCGGCACAUUCCGGGUUCGACUCCCGGCGCGGCCC